rnacentral:rRNA from 1 species
AUACUUAGGGUGCGAGCGUUAAUCGGAAUUACUGGGCGUAAAGCGAGUGUAGGCGGCUAUAUAAGUCGGAUGUGAAAGCCCCGGGCUCAACCUGGGAAUUGCAUUCGAAACUGUAUAGCUAGAGUUUGGUAGAGGUAAGUGGAAUUCAGGGUGUAGCGGUGAAAUGCGUAGAUAUCCUGAGGAACAUCAGUGGCGAAGGCGGCUUACUGGACCAAAACUGACGCUGAGGCUCGAAAGCGUGGGGAGCAAACAGGAUUAGAAACCCCAGUAGUCC